GCUUAGACGAUACAGCCAAUCAAUACAUUCCAUGGAAAUGCUUAACAAUGAAUGAACGCUUACUACUAUUUUCUAUGGAUCUGAUGAAGC